AAAUGAAUUGACGGGGACCCGCACAAGCAGUGGAGUAUGUGGUUUAAUUCGAAGCAACGCGAAGAACCUUACCAGGUCUUGACAUCCCUCUGACCGGUGCAGAGAUGUGCCUUUCCUUCGGGACAGAGGAGACAGGUGGUGCAUGGUUGUCGUCAGCUCGUGUCGUGAGAUGUUGGGUUAAGUCCCGCAACGAGCGCAACCCUUAGCUUUAGUUGCCAGCAUGAGAGAUGGGCACUCUAGAGCGACUGCCGGUGACAAACCGGAGGAAGGUGGGGAUGACGUCAAAUCAUCAUGCCCCUUAUGACCUGGGCUACACACGUACUACAAUGGCCGGUACAGAGGGAAGCGAAGGAGCGAUCUGGAGCGAAUCCCAAAAAAGCGGUCUCAGUUCGGAUUGCAGGCUGCAACUCGCCUGCAUGAAGUCGGAAUUGCUAGUAAUCGCGGAUCAGCAUGCCGCGGUGAAUACGUUCCCGGGUCUUGUACACACCGCCCGU
rnacentral:rRNA from 1 species